rnacentral:tRNA from 1 species
GCCCAGGUGGUGGAAUUGGUAGACAUGCUGUCUUCAGGCGGCAGUGGCCCUUGGCCGUGCAGGUUCGAGUCCUGUUCUGGGCA